rnacentral:snoRNA from 1 species
AACCCUUGUAUGUGUUUGUUCAACUGGUGGACAAAGGCAUGAGACAUAGGUGCAAAGAUAAGUCUUCCACAACUGACAACUUAGUAUUCAGUAUGAGUUUUGACACAUAUAAGAAGGAAUAUG